UCCCAGGCACACUGUUACUCUCUCUGUGAACUGACACAGGGGGUGUUUCUACAGAGGACUCACGGGGUGGGGUCACUCUGAAGCCCUUGCCAAAGGAAAAUGACAAUGAUUAUCCUGAGGAUGAGAUGAGAAAGAGCUGCUCCACGGUCAAGGUUGUGAACGACAAAGGAACGGUUAUCCUUUUAUGGUCUUCCUCCAAGCUUUUGAGGACAACGAUAAAUUAUUUUUAAAAAGAGCAACUCUAUAAGGCGGGUACUAUUAUCCACCUCACUUACAAAUGAGGAAACCGAGGCAAACAGGUUAACUUAGAUCUCACAGCCAGCAGACGGCAGAGCCGGGAUGGGAACCCGGAUGUUUGUCUCCAGCCUGUGCUCUUCGCAAUGAUGCUAAGUGAUGAAGAGUCGAGGAGGGAGGGCAUCUGCUCCAGGUGAUGUGCUCCAGAAUGACCUCUUCGAGGACUGCCAGGAGGCGUGGCGCAGAAGCUGACUCCACGCCUGUGAGAGGCACUGGCAGCAAACUGGCACUUCUUAGCCAACAAGGCAGGAUUCCCAGCACAUUUCAAGGAUCAGGUGUCCACGUCAGAAACCAACCCAGCUCUAAGUGCCCCAAAAUCACGUUGCGGGGAGUGGUGCUUUUGUGCUCAUGUGCCUGGACCACUUAUGCACCUGCUCUGGAAGCCCGAAGCCCCCAGGACUGCCCAGACCCCCUGCUUUGGGAUGUGGUAGAAGAAACCAGAGUCUGGUUUUGGAUGCUCUCAGGCAGGAAGUAUUAUGCAUCCAGAGGAGGCCUAAUCGCGCCGCCACCCCUGACCUACGAGGAGAGCUCUUGAAGCCUGACUCACCACCAAGCCCUGGAGCAGGACUGGAGACCGCCUCUCCCUGCACAUCUGCGCCUCUUCCGUCUCCAUCGGAACCCUAUGGCUGGUGAGUUCCUUAAGGGACCACUCUCAUCAAGAAUGCCCACUCCCACCUCGAUCCACCUGCUUUACCAAAAGCCUCCCUAAGGCAGAAGCGGUGCCCUGCACCCCACUCCAGUCCCGCAUGGCCACCCAAAGUGUUUGAUGCCUGAUCCAGGAUAGGAGAUGGUCAGCAGCCCAGCUCUGCCCCCACCAGCUUUCUGCCUCUACAUGGCCCUGGGCGAGCCCGGUCACCACUUUGUACCCAUUCUCUUCAUUUGAAAAGGAGGAACUGAGAGCAGAUCCAAGUCACGUGACUAUGUUAGGGGAGGGGGUUACCUAGAUAAUGUAUCGAAAAUGUUUAGCCCAGUGCUGGGCACCUAUUACAUACUAGAUAAAUGAGAGCUAUGACUCCUAAUAAUAUUAAUACAAGUUUCUAGUUUGACGGCCCAGACCUGGAGUGUGGAAACAUGCAAGCAUCAUUUACAAGUCCUCCAGUCUUGCCUGCGUUGGGUUUGGCACCAAGGAACCACCACAACCUCUGAGAGCUGAGGCCGUCUUCCCUUUGUUAGAUCCUCUGCUUUCCCUUCUGGCCUGGACAAGCCCUCCCUGCUUUACCUAAUAGGAGGAGCAAGUCUUUGCCAGAAGAGAGGGAGACAUCCUUCGAAAGGCAUCUAAAACGUUGCCAUUUAUGGUGCAGAGUGAAGGCCAUAGCUACUCUUUCAAUGACACAUGCACAAAAGCUCUUGUUAUGGACACAAAUAAGAAAAGGGAACCCUUCGCCUGGUGUAAUUCACUUCAUUUAUUGACCAGAGUUCUCUCCCCCAACCCCGAUUCCUUUGCAUUUGUCAGCGGUUCAGAGACCCCUGGCAUUCAGCAUGAUUUGUAAUGUAAAUUAUAUAAUUGUACUUUCACAUAUUUUAACAUCAAAUGAAAUGAUUGACUACAGAAUCGGAGCUGUCUACAGGUGGGGGUCAAUUACCAUCUGAAUAAUCACAGUGCCACACAAGAAUAGCAUAGCCGCUGAGCGUGACAUAUUUUUAUCUCUAUGCAUUUCAAUGAAGUCAGGCUGGUACAUAAAAGGUUAUCACCUAGGAAACAUAUUUUCCUAAGCACAAGUUAAACAUGCAAGUGAGAUCAGCAAAGAUAUUCAAUUUAGCCAGUCAACCCUAACCUAUUAAUAUUUUAACAAAAUCCAGUGAGGAUAAUUUUUUUCUUUGAUCCCAUUUCAUGUGAGCAGCCUGGAAAGGGAAGAAAAAUUAAAAACAAAAUAGUCAAGCAUACAGAAUGAGGUUAUGUAUUAAGUGGGCUAUUUAAUGUUUCUGGCAUUUCAUAGCCCAGGGGAAAGUGUGGAUGGAUUUAACCAUCAAGAGCUGUGUUCCCUUGGCCACAAAGUUCGAGAAACAUAAAAUAAUCUAUACUUCCAAGCUGACAAAUCGUACCUGACACCCAGCUUCAUCUCACCGGGACUCCGGAGAUCAGCAUUAAUCAUAUGUUACAGGGAGUAAAAAGAAAAGUAAAUCACGCCACACUGAAAAGUGAGAUGGAAGGUCUUCAGGCAAGGAUUUUAAUCAAUAAUAUGUGGGAUGAUAACCAGAAGCUAUUGUUUUAAUCUUCCAAUAUGAAAAGAAAUGAAUGCAAAACACAAAGCUACUGAGAGCAGAAGCGGCUUCCAUGAUGCCUUGUAAGAACUGAAAACAAUUUGGCAGCUCAACUUCCCGUCUUGAUGCAUGACCACACAUACACACACACACACACACACACACGAUUUCUUUUUAAUGGGAAGGAGUCAGGUGCAUCCUUGAAGUUGCUUGUGUCUGGAGCCAUUGCUUUUGCCCAGGUCCUGGGUCCCAAGCUAAGCUUUGCUCUGUUCUCCCUGUUCAGCCAAUGUCUACUAGUUUGGCACUUCCAGCUUCCAUUUCUGCCCCUGCUAAGAGAUGCUUCUCUCCUAAAUUCUCAGUCCCUGUGGCUUGGGUCGUGUUGGCUUCCCCAGCGGUUCUAGGGAAAGAGGUGUUUCUGUCCUGGCAUCACUGAUUUAUUAGUUAAUUAAUUAAUUCACGAUUAACUAGUUCUGGGAUGAGUGGGAGAUUCAUUAGAGCCCACGAGAUGCAGCCUUGGGUGUUCUUGGCUGUACUCUUAUGAAAGAGGCUGAUAUGGGUUGAACUGUAUCCUCCUCAAAAUACAUGUGUUGAAGGCCUAACUCUAAAUACCCGAGAACAUGAGCUUUUGGGAGAACAGGACCAUUGCAAAUCUGAUUCGUUAAGAUGAAAUCAUACUGGGGUAAGUGGGACUCCUGAUACAAAGCAAUUAGCAUCCUCAUAAAGAGAAAAUUUGGACCCAGACAGAUACACACAUAGGGAGAUGCCAGGUAAAGACGAAGAGCUCUGGGUGAGGCUUUUACAAACCAGAGAACUGCAAUUAUGUCCAGCAAACUGCCAGAAGCUAGGGAGAGGCAUGGAACAGAUUCCUCUGGCCCUGGUGACAUUUUGAUCUCAAAAUUCUAGUCUCCAGAACCGUGAGACUAUUUCUAUUAUUUAUGCCCCUCAAUUUCCAUCCAGAGUUUUUUCAGGCAGCCCUAGCAAUUUAAUAGAGAGGCCCCCUCUCUUUUAUUCCCAUGUACUAGGAACUUUGAAAAUUUAAGUUUGGUCUAUGCUAUGCUCUGAAUGUGUUCUCCCAAAAUUCAUCUGUUAGAAUCCUAACCCUGACAGAUGGUAGUAUGAGGAGGCCUUUGGGAGGUGCUUAAGCCAUAAAGGUGGAGCCCUCGUGAAUAGGAUUAGCAUCCUAUAAAAGAGGCCCCCCGAGAGAUCCUUAGCCCCUUCCACCACGUGAGGCCACAAUGAGAAGUCUGUGACCUGGAAGAGAUCCCUCACCCAAGCACGCCGGCUCUCUCAUGUCGGACUUACAGCCUCCAGAACCAUGAGAAAUACAUUCCUGUUGUUUGUAAGCCACCCCGUCUGUGGCAUUUUGUUAUAGCCGCCCAAAUGGACGGAGACAGCACGGCUGGCGUUUAUCUUACCCAGCAGUGGAGCCAACAACUGCAAAGCUGAGCGCCUACUUACAGAGAAACCUACACCUCAGGCAGAUAUUUCCUGGGUCCCUGGGUCCAUCCAUACCUGAGGUUUUAUCCCCAAUUUUGUGAUUAUGUGAGCUAUUAAAUUCCCAUUUUUACUUAAGCUACUUACAAUUGAAUUUUCAUCACUUACAACUGAAGGAAUCCUAAAUGGUUUAUUCUGAAAGCAGUCAGUGUGCUCUUAGGAUGAAUUAGUAGACCAGAAGUCUUCAGAAAAAAGGACAUGUUCUUGUCAAUUAGACCACAGGAAGGUGGCAUUCAGUUUGAGGCAUCACACGUUCAAGAGGGAUAAACAUGGGCAGAGUGUUUGGGUGGUGAAAGACCCGGGCUGUGAAUGACAGGAGGUAUAAAGGAUGCUUGUCCUAGGCCAAAAAAAAAAAAAAAAA